UACGUAGGUGGCAAGCGUUGUCCGGAAUUAUUGGGCGUAAAGCGCACGCAGGCGGUCCGGUAAGUCGGAUGUGAAAUUCCGGGGCUCAACCCCGGGACGCCAUUCGAUACUGUCGGACUUGAGGCAGGUAGGGGAGAGUGGAAUUCCUGGUGUAGCGGUGAAAUGCGUAGAUAUCAGGAGGAACACCGGUGGCGAAGGCGGCUCUCUGGGCCUGUCCUGACGCUCAUGUGCGAAAGCGUGGGGAGCAAACAGG
rnacentral:misc_RNA from 1 species